rnacentral:rRNA from 1 species
AUGACCGGCCUGGAUCUGUCGAAUGACAAUUUUUCAGGACCAAUCCUUCAGGACAUUUCACGGCAGGUGCCGUACCUGACAUCUCUGGACCUUUCGUACAAUAGUUUUUCGGGUUCGAUCCCACAGAAUAUCUCAAACAUGAUAUAUCUGAAUCUCCUCAACCUCCAGCAUAACCAACUCAGCGGUCAAAUUCCACCGCAAUUCGAUUUGCUUACUCGGUUAACCGCAUUCAAUGUUGUGGAGAACUUGUUAUCAGGGCCUAUUCCUACUUUACCACGUAAGUUUCCGGCUUCGAACUUUGCUGGUAACCAAGGACAUUGUGGUUCACCAUUGGAUGAUUGUCCCCCCUCGAGGAGGAGAUGGAGACCGGUACGAAUCAGGCUGCACGGGCUCAACGACCAGUCGAGCAUCGGAGUGGCCAUCGGAUUCGUGGUGGGGUUCGUGGUGGCCUUCUACUCCCGCACUGCUUCGUCUGCUCUGAGCCUAUGUCGUCCGCAUAUGAUUCACCUGUUAUUCUGA